UUGUGUAUAUUAUAAAUUAAUAUGAUAAGUUUAGGUCUUAUAAAUUUUUCACAAU
rnacentral:tRNA from 1 species